AACGAACGCUGGCGGCAGGCUUAACACAUGCAAGUCGAACGCAUCCUUCGGGGUGAGUGGCAGACGGGUGAGUAACGCGUGGGAACGUGCCCUUCAGUUCGGGAUAACCCAGGGAAACUUGGGCUAAUACCGGAUACGUGCGAGAGCAGAAAGAUUUAUCGCUGAAGGAUCGGCCCGCGUCUGAUUAGCUAGUUGGUGGGGUAAUGGCCCACCAGGGCGACGAUCAGUAGCUGGUCUGAGAGGAUGAUCAGCCACAUUGGGACUGAGACACGGCCCAAACUCCUACGGGAGGCAGCAGUGGGGAAUAUUGGACAAUGGGCGCAAGCCUGAUCCAGCCAUGCCGCGUGAGUGAUGAAGGCCUUAGGGUUGUAAAGCUCCUUCGUCCGGGACGAUAAUGACGGUACCGGAAGAAGAAGCCCCGGCUAACUUCGUGCCAGCCGCCGCAGUAA
rnacentral:rRNA from 1 species